AGAAGAUCAGAGAAGGAAAUAUAAUGUUUUAAAUGAUAGGUAAUUAUAAUUACAACUAGGAGAGACUAUUACUCAGACACCAGCUGGGACGCUUAGCUGAGGGGUAGAGUGCCAGAAGAGCUCAUAGUGCCCUAUUACCCCUCUAGAACAGGGGUUCUCAAACCUUUUGGAGGGGACCCCUUACAGGUACAGCCUGGGGUCAAGAUCGGCUCUGGCA